CUCUAUCUCUCUCUCUCUCUCUCUCUAGAAGAAGCGAGCGAGCAAGCUCUGUGCUUUUGACCCCCUCCGAGGAUUUGGUUAUAUAUGUCACUGUGGACAGUGGCUGUCCUUUACACAUGCUGUCAAGCAAAUCAUAUUCCCGGGGUUCUUCGUAUAUUCGUAGGAAUGCUACUCUGAUGGAGCUGGGCUAGGGGCGUAAGUCGGGUUUUGAGUCGAUCACUGUGAGUGAAUGAGAAAGGGCUGUUGGACCACCUUAUGCCUGAUGAGUUACCAUGUUCCUGCGUUCAAUUCCCCAUUAUUUUUACUGCUUACCAGCUGUGGGCCUUGCCUCCAAAUUUGCAGUAACUGUUGUUUAUUUAUAUAUUUUUGGGUAUUUAGUUGUACUGCUGGUUUGAAGUUUGAAAGAGAAUUCCGGAAAAUAAAGUUUCUUUUUCUGUGCUAAAAGCAUCGACUGCUAAUAAUAUCAGUACUGCUUUCUUUGUCA